rnacentral:lncRNA from 1 species
AUGAUACUUCAUUCAGGGCAUAUCAUCAUCCCCAAAGCGUCUCACCAGUUCAUGAGCCUUCAAGGAUGGCUAUGUUGUAGCAUACCUGUGUCUUGCAGACAGGUGUUUGAAAGUCUUCUGGAGGUGCACAAGGAGACAAUAACAGGUCAUCACAUUGACAUUGUCUUGAGAAGGUCCUAACUGCCGCUGCUGUGCAAAAACAGAGUUGAAGUAGCUUGAGUGUUCUUCAGACUUGGGACUGACAGUAGAAGAGGGGCUGGUAAGUACUACGUAAACGACUUCAUGAGAAAAGAAAAAGUUUAGUUUCUAAGCUGAAUCUCUCAGAUUAUUUUUAUUUAUUUAUUUAUUUGUUCCAAAUUGGGCCAGUACAAAAUACUGGAAGGUGCACAGAAGCACUGGAUUUCUUUUUAGCUAAUUUUGAUCUCUCUUACUUCCUAUUACUGCUGACAGAGAUCUAGCAAAUAUAAGCAUUGAAAGGGAAAGGAUUAUUUACCUUAUCAAAGCUUGGUGGCUAUUUUAGGCUGCAAUAACUUGUUCUCUACACUCUAUUGACUUAUGUUGACUGAAUUUCUUUUGACUAGAGUAAAGCCAAGCCAAUUCACAUGAAGGAAUUUGCAUUGUAGCUAAUGAAGUCAAGGUGAGUUGAGUUCACUCUCUAACCUGAGAUACAUUCUACCUUAUUGUAGAAUGUGUGCAGAAAUAACACAUAAAUAAAAUAAAAAAAUAUAUAUGUAUUUUAAAGGGA